rnacentral:rRNA from 1 species
GUAGGGUGCAAGCGUUAAUCGGAAUUACUGGGCGUAAAGCGUGCGCAGGCGGUUAUGUAAGACAGAUGUGAAAUGCCCGGGCUUAACCUGGGAACUGCAUUUGUGACUGCAUGGCUAGAGUGUGUCAGAGGGGGGUAGAAUUCCACGUGUAGCAGUGAAAUGCGUAGAUAUGUGGAGGAAUACCGAUGGCGAAGGCAGCCCCCUGGGAUAACACUGACACUCAUGCACGAAAGCGUGGGGAGCAAACAGGAUUAGAUACCCUGGUAGUCCACGCCCUAAACGAUGUCUACUAGUUGUCGGGUCUUAAUUGACUUGGUAACGCAGCUAACGCGUGAAGUAGACCGCCUGGGGAGUACGGUCGCAA